UAAUGGUUAUUCUUAGAAAAGGCUUGCCUGUCACACUUCCUGUGGCAAUGUUGCAAGGAAAUAGUUGUUUUCAUGGAGACUCUACCUGUUGUUCUAGUCAGUGGCCAAUAGAAUUGAGCCUAGGGACUGGCAGAGAAGUGUCUGGGAUGCUAAGGAGCAAUUGCUUGGUGGGUAGCUUAGAAGGACAUUAAGACAAAGCCUCUUUUCCCCCCAACAUAUACUAAAAAUAACCUUGACCAGAGCUGUGAGGCUGACAGUUGUUUUAUAACAUUGAUUAGCACAUAGGUUCUCAGUGAAUCAGGAUUUGCUACCUCACAGGGUUAAGUAGCCUGUUUCACUUUUGUAUUGAUCUAGUCAUUAGAGUUACUUCUUUCAUUGAGCCAAGGCUUUUCCACCUUUAUUCCCACCUGUUGUAUGUAGUUUUACUCUCUCGAUCUCUAGCAAAUAAGGCUGAUCACUUUUGUUGGAAUUUUAAGAUUUAAUUUAUUUUGGAAUGGCUGCCUGGGCUACUUUUAAUCCUCUAGUAUAUUACAAGAGAAAAUGAAUCAGUGGCAAGAAUUAAACUUACAAGAUGCAGAGGACAAAGUGCUGCCUGUGAAGGUAAAUUUUGUCUUAAGAUUUGCCAGUCCCUUGCAGCCCUUUUAAUGAGGCAACUCAGUCUACAUCUGUCUAGCCAAAAUAAGUAAAAGACAGAUCAUUGCCCUGUCCCCUUCCCCUCCUCCAUUCCUAAGCCACAUACAUAACUGGUAGAAAAUUACCAAGAUCCCCCAUUGAGUUGUAAGGUACCAUCUUUCCACAGCCUUGACUUUGGCUGUCCCUUUCGCUGCACUCUCCCUCUGUGUAUUCUAUUCAGUCUCCUGCCCUCCUUCUUCAGCAGCUAUUCCUCCACCCGUUUUGCCUCUUCCAGAAAUGUAACCUUUGUGCCAUACUCGUCAUCUUGUAGUUUAACCCCUUUUUAAGAAAAAAGUUCCUUUAUCCUCAUUGUAUCUGGGCCUCUUGGAGAAGAGAGAAAUACGCACUGUCCAUCAGCCAGUUUGUACCAGAAGCAGUAAUACAACAUGUAUAGUCAACUGUACAAACGUGUUAAGUUUGGAAAACAGGGAAAAGUAAACAUCUAUAAUCAUACCAUACUAACACAAAUCCAUUCAUCUGUUUAUUUAUACGCUUAUUCAUUCAUUCAAAUCACCAGAUAUUUACUGACUACCUAUUAUGGUAGUAACUGCCAUGCCUUGUAGGGAAUUAUGUUCUGGUAAGGGAACUGUAGCUAAGUAGAAACAACCACUAAAAUACCACUGUUUCGGUAUAUUUUUAUUGUAUCUUAAUCUUACAGUUUUUCUAAUACAUUGCAGUUAUACAGUCUAUACAGUCUUGCAUGCUUUAUCCUACUUUUUAACUUACAGCACAUGACAAGAGAGGGGCAAAACUAUUUAUUCAAUAUUUUUGCCUGUCAGGAAUAAGAUCCUAUUUUUUUUUAAUGUUUAUUUAUUUUUGAGACAGAGACAGAGCAUAGGUGGGGGAGGGACAGAGAGAGAGAGGGAGACACAGAAUCCGAAGCAGGCUCCAAGCUCUGAACUAUCAGCACAGAGCCUGAUGCGGGGCUUGAACUCACAAACCGUGAGAUCAUGACCUGAGCCGAAGUCAGUCGCUCAACUGACUGAGCCACCCAGGCACCCCAGGAUCCUAUUAUUUUUAACCUGAGUCUGCAGUUCAUAUAGCAGGCCCUGUUCCUGAUCUGCUUCACAGAGCCUAUCUCUAGCUAUACUGUUUGUCCACCUUAUAACUGGGUGAGCUUUGGGUAGAUAGGUACUUCUCAUUGCCCAGCAGUCUUCAAUAAGGGUGCCAGUUGAGCUCACUCUUAUUUAAUUGGAGGUUGGGGCAGAAUAGGCAUCAGUCUGUGAAGAGGAUCAGCCCUGGGCCAGCUAUUUCAGUUCCUUACAGAUCAGCGUGCGUGCGGAUGAUAGAGGUCUCACGACUUGAACCAUAAGACCGUGAUCCUGUGGAUGUUUUCUCCUCUCUUGACUCGACUCUUCUUCCUUUAUUCCUUCCUUCCUUCCUUCCUUCCUUCCUUCCUUCCUUCCUUCCUUCCACAGUCUUAUUGUUUUACCUCUUCUCUUCCCAGAUUUUCACAAAAGACUACUUGUUUUUUUUUCUGGAAUGCCACCUCUCCACAUGGAAAAGUGAAGGCCUAGUUCAUUUGAUUUCUUCUUGUAGUUUUACUCUCAGGAAUAGAGAAGGGGGAGGGAAUAGGGCAAUGAUCUGUUUUUCACUUUUUUUGGCUAGAUAGCUACAGAUUCAGUUACCUCAUUAAAAAGGCGGCAGUGACUGGCAAAUCUUAAGACAAAACUUACCUUCACGUGGGGCACUUUGUCCUCUGCAUCUUAUAAGUUUAAUUCUAGCCACUGCUUCAUUUUCUCUUGCAGUAUAUUAGUCUUACAAAUUUCAUAGCCUCAGGUGUCCAUUUGGGGUCUGUAGCUUUAGCCCUUGCCUGGUUUCUGCUCUCUUUGUAGUUAGAAUCAUAUUUUAAUAUAACUAAAUCAUACCCCAGUAUUUUUUUUUUUACAAUUCAGUGGUUUUUAGCAUAUUCACAAAGUUGUGCGACCAUCACCACAAUCUAAGAACUUUUUCAUCACCUCAGUAAGAAACCACACAUCCAUUAGCUGUCACUCUUCAUUUCCCUUACUCUUCUGCCAGCCCUAAUUAACCACUUGUCUAUUUUCUGUCUCUGUAAUCUUUCAUUUCUACUGUUGGUAGAGAGGAUAAAUGCAGAUGGGGAGAAAGGUGAGCUCUGGUUCGGAAGUGAGCUUCUGCUUCUGAUUUCUGCUUAUCUGCCAUCCCCCAAACUUGAAGUUAAAUAAAACUCCUUGCCUCUUUGAAGAUGUUCUUCCAAAGAUUUCCAUCUGAUCUCCAAAAGAUAAUUAUACAUAAUAUCUGUAAACGUAAAUAUAUUCCUAAAUGUACUCUUAUUUCAUAAGUUUAAUCUUAUUUCUUGUGAAUGAGUGAUCCUAGUGCACACACAUGCACACACACUCACCUGGCCUCUAUAUUUCAAAGCCUUCUUCAAAGCCAGACAAAGCCAGACAAUGAAGGGCAUCAUGCCUCAAACACUGUCCCCUAAUUUCCUGAUUCCUAGGUUUUCCAAAUCAGGCUGCCAUGCUUAUAUCUUGGUGAUUUUUAGAUAUCUCACAAUACUAAGUAACAGUAAAGAGUGGGAGUCAGUAGAAUGAACCAUGGGGAAUGACUUGGGGGAAACACCCCCUCUCUGCUGUGUAUACAAUUAGAAUUGACCAGGGAGAGACAAAGAGGGGUGGCAGGGCAGUAUGAGAAGGCUCUUUAGCAGUUAUCUUUUCCAGCUAGAGCAUCUUGGCCUACCUAGCAUCCCCACCCCUCCACAGUGGUCCUUUGUGAUGUCUAAGCUCCCCUUAACCACCAUUGGCUGCAGUGAGUGCCCUGCUGACUAAACAGACAGAAGGGGUGUGACUCCCCAUUGUUCUGGGAGAGGUAUAUAUACAGAGGACAAACUCCUGGGGUUAGACAACUGAGAGGCUGCAAGAUGGCAAAAGUGGUGAAGAAAUCAUGGAAACCGCAAACCACAAGCACCAAGCGGUGGAAGAAGAGGAAGACCACCUCUCAACCCAGAUCAAGAGGCAUUAGCAAGGUGCUAAAGACAUACAAGAAGAUGAAAAGAUCACUUCACAUGAGUUUAAGAAAAAAAUACUCUCCUAAAGUUAAAACUACUUCAAGAAGAAAGAAGAGAGCAAGGAGGGCCAAUUAGUUUCACCCAUAGACUGAGCCAAAAGCAGCCAGGCCAGACCCAACGGACUCUAUAGAACUACACCACUCCAAGACAAGACCGGUGGAAACACUACAUAUAGAGCAAGCUUCAGAGACCUCAGACGGUCUGCCUCUAGAGUCCUGGCUGCGGAGAAGUGGCCAACUGCAUAGAGACUGAUACAGAUGCUAAUAUGAAACAUGGAACACAAAUGGAGGUGAUUAAAAUAAAACCAACAGGGUGUAAGAAGCCCCUCCAAAAAAUAAAAUCAGGCAUUCUGCGUAGAAAUGAA